GAUGAACGCUGGCGGCGUGCCUAAUACAUGCAAGUCGAGCGAACGGAUGAGAAGCUUGCUUCUCUGAUGUUAGCGGCGGACGGGUGAGUAACACGUGGAUAACCUACCUAUAAGACUGGGAUAACUUCGGGAAACCGGAGCUAAUACCGGAUAAUAUUUUGAACCGCAUGGUUCAAAAGUGAAAGACGGUUUUGCUGUCACUUAUAGAUGGAUCCGCGCUGCAUUAGCUAGUUGGUAAGGUAACGGCUUACCAAGGCAACGAUGCGUAGCCGACCUGAGAGGGUGAUCGGCCACACUGGAACUGAGACACGGUCCAGACUCCUACGGGAGGCAGCAGUAGGGAAUCUUCCGCAAUGGGCGAAAGCCUGACGGAGCAACGCCGCGUGAGUGAUGAAGGUCUUCGGAUCGUAAAACUCCGUUAUUAGGGAAGAACAUAUGUGUAAGUAACUGUGCACGUCUUGACGGUACCUAAUCAGAAAGCCACGGCUAACUACGUG
rnacentral:rRNA from 1 species